CUACGGAUGCCUUGUUACGACUUAAGCCCUGUCACCAAUCUCACCUUCUGCCCAGAUAAACUAGACAUUCGGGUGCUAUCGGCUUCCUUGCCUUGACGGGCGGUGUGUACAAGAUCCGAGAACGUAUUCACCGUGACGAGGCUGAUUCACGGUUACUAGCGAUUCCAACUUCAAGAAGUCGAGUUGCAGACUUCUAUCCGAACUGAGACAAGUUUUGAUGGGAUUUGCUCCACGUUUCCGCUUCGCGCCCCUUUGUACCUGCCAUUGUAGCACGUGUGUAGCCCAAGAUGUAAGAGCCAUGCUGAUUUGACGUCAUCCUCACCUUCCUCCUUGUUAUCCAAGGCAGUCUCCUAUGAAAUUAGUAACAUAGGACGAGGGUUGCGCUCGUUAAGGGACUUAACCAUACGUCUCACGACACGAGCUGACGACAACCAUGCAGCACCUGUAUAGCACUCUCGAAGAAGUCCUCAUUUCUGAGGAUUUGCAGCUAUAUGUCAAAUCUUGGUGAGGUUCCUCGCUUAUUGUCGAAUUAAACCACAUGCUCCACCGCUUGUGCGGAUCCCCGUCAAUUCCUUUGUGUUUUAGCCUUGCGGCCGUACUCCACAGGCGGGAUACUUAAGGUGUUAACUUAGGUAGACAACACUGGCAGGGUCGAUACUGCCAACAUUUAGUAUCCAUCGUUUACGGCAUGGACUACUGGGGUAUCUAAUCCCAUUCGCUACCCAUGCUUUCGUGUGUGAGCGUCAGAAACGUUCUAGCAAACUGCCUUCGCCUUUGGUGUUCCAACCGAUAUUAACGCAUUUUACUGCUACACCGGCCAUUCCGUUUGCCUCUCCCGUUCUCUAGUUUAGUAGUUUAACUCGCAGUCUCAAAGUUGAGCCUUGAGAUUUGACAAGUUACUUACCAAACCGCCUGGACACGCUUUACGCCCAAUAAAUCCGGAUAACGCUUGGGGCACUCGUAUUACCGCUGCUGCUGGCACGAGUUUAGCAGCCCCUUAUUCAUCAGGUACCGUCAUCGUUCUUCCCUGAUAAAAGGU
rnacentral:rRNA from 1 species